GAGGGGUAUAUGUCUUCGGAUAUAGAGACCGGCGCACGGGUGCGUAACGCGUAUGCAAUCUACCUUUUACAGGGGAAUAGCCCAGAGAAAUUUGGAUUAAUGCCCCAUAGUAUAAUUGAAUGGCAUCAUUUAAUUAUUAAAGUCACAACGGUAAAAGAUGAGCAUGCGUCCCAUUAGUUAGUUGGUAAGGUAACGGCUUACCAAGACAAUGAUGGGUAGGGGUCCUGAGAGGGAGAUCCCCCACACUGGUACUGAGACACGGACCAGACUCCUACGGGAGGCAGCAGUGAGGAAUAUUGGACAAUGGGCGCAAGCCUGAUCCAGCCAUGCCGCGUGCAGGAAGACGGUCCUAUGGAUUGUAAACUGCUUUUAUACAGGAAGAAACACUCCGACGUGUCGGAGCUUGACGGUACUGUAGGAAUAAGGAUCGGCUAACUCCGUGCCAGCAGCCGCGGUAAUACGGAGGAUCCAAGCGUUAUCCGGAAUCAUUGGGUUUAAAGGGUCCGUAGGCGGUUUAAUAAGUCAGUGGUGAAAUCUGGUCGCUCAACGAUCAAACGGCCAUUGAUACUGUUAGACUUGAAUUAUAAGGAAGUAACUAGAAUAUGUAGUGUAGCGGUGAAAUGCUUAGAUAUUACAUGGAAUACCAAUUGCGAAGGCAGGUUACUACUUAUGGAUUGACGCUGAUGGACGAAAGCGUGGGGAGCGAACAGGAUUAGAUACCCUGGUAGUCCACGCCGUAAACGAUGGAUACUAGCUGUUGGAAGCAAUUUCAGUGGCUAAGCGAAAGUGAUAAGUAUCCCACCUGGGGAGUACGUUCGCAAGAAUG
rnacentral:rRNA from 1 species